GAUGAACGCUGGCGGCGUGCCUAAUACAUGCGAGUCGAGCGAACAGACGAGGAGCUUGCUCCUCUGACGUUAGCGGCGGACGGGUGAGUAACACGUGGAUAACCUACCUAUAAGACUGGGAUAACUUCGGGACACCGGCGCUAAUACCGGAUAAUAUGUUGAACCGCAUGGUUCAAUAGUGAAAGUCGGUUGUGCUGUCACUUAUAGAUGGAUCCGCGCCGCAUUAGCUAGUUGGUAAGGUAACGGCUUACCAAGGGUACGAUGCGUAGGCGAACUGAGGGGGUGGUAGCCCACCUUGGAGCGUGGCCGCCGACAUUGCGCCUGCGGUAGGCAGCAGUCGGGUAUCUUCCGCAACGGUGGGAAGCCUGACGGAGUGACGCCGCGCCAGUUACGACAGCGCCCGGUGCGUAAUAACCUGCUAUUAGGUAAGAACAAAUGUCUACGUAACUAUGCACGGCUUGACGGUAACUAAUAAGAAAGCCCCGGCUAACUACGUG
rnacentral:rRNA from 1 species